rnacentral:tRNA from 1 species
ACCUCGGUAGUGUAAUGGAUCAACACGGCAGACCAGGAUAUCUGUAAGUGUAGGUUUGAGUCCCGCCUGAGGUU